AACGAACGCUGGCGGCAUGCCUAACACAUGCAAGUCGAACGAGACCUCCGGGUCUUGUGGCGCACGGGUGCGUAACGCGUGGGAACCUGCCCUUAGGUUCGGAAUAACUCCCCGAAAGGGGUGCUAAUACCGGAUAAUGUCUUCGGACCAAAGAUUUAUCGCCUUUGGAUGGGCCCGCGUUGGAUUCGCUAGUUGGGAGGGUAAAAGCAUACCAAGGCGACGAUCCAGAGCUGGUCUGAGAGGAUGAUCAGCCACACUGGGACUGAGACACGGCCCAGACUCCUACGGGAGGCAGGAGUGGGGAAUAUUGGAAAAUGGGCGAAAGCCUGAUCCAGCAAUGCCGGGUGAGUGAUGAAGGCCGUAGGGUUGUAAAGCUCUUUUACCCGGGAUGAUAAUGACAGUACCGGGAGAAUAAGCUCCGGCUAACUCCGUG
rnacentral:rRNA from 1 species